rnacentral:tRNA from 1 species
GGAUGUAGCUCAGUGGUAGAGUCCUUGCCUAACAUGUGUAAGACCUGGGUUCCAUCCCUAGCACCA